rnacentral:rRNA from 1 species
GGGUGAGUAACACGUGGAUAACCUACCUAUAAGACUGGGAUAACUUCGGGAAACCGUAGCUAAUACCGGAUAAUAUUUUGAACCGCAUGGUUCGAAAGUGAAAGACGGUCUUGCUGUCACUUAUAGAUGGAUCCGCGCUGCAUUAGCUAGUUGUUAAGGUAACGGCUUACCAAGGCAACGAUGCAUAGCCGACCUGAGAGGGUGAUCGGCCACACUGGAACUGAGACACGGUCCAG